rnacentral:rRNA from 1 species
UGGGGAAUAUUGGACAAUGGAGGAAACUCUGAUCCAGCAAUUCUGUGUGUGUGAAGAAGGUUUUAGGACUGUAAAACACUUUUAGUAGGGAAGAAAAAAAUGACGGUACCUACAGAAGAAGCAACGGCUAAAUACGUGCCAGCAGCCGCGGUAAUACGUAUGUUGCGAGCGUUAUCCGGAAUUAUUGGGUUUAAAGGGUGCGCAGGUGGCUAAUCAGGUCAGUAGUGAAAAGCUAUGGCUCAACCAUGGUCUUGCCAUUGAAACCGUAUAGCUAGAGAGGAGACGAGGUAGGCGGAAUGUGUGGUGUAGCGGUGAAAUGCAUAGAUAUCACACAGAACUCCGAUUGCGAAGGCAGCUUACCAGGCUUUAUCUGACACUUAGGCACGACAGCGUGGGGAUCAAACAGG